UACGGGGGGGGCAAGCGUUGUUCGGAAUUACUGGGCGUAAAGGGCUCGUAGGCGGCCAACUAAGUCAGACGUGAAAUCCCUCGGCUUAACUGGGGAACUGCGUCCGAUACUGGAUGGCUUGGAUUCGGGAGAGGGAUGCGGAAUUCCAGGUGUAGCGGUGAAAUGCGUAGAUAUCUGGAGGAACACCGGUGGCGAAGGCGGCAUCCUGGACCGAUAUUGACGCUGAGGAGCGAAAGCCAGGGGAGCAAACGGG
rnacentral:rRNA from 1 species